UGGAAAAGGAAUUCCUUGUUCUCUAUGUGAUUCAUGCAGAAGUCUAAAAACAUAACCUCGGUUUCAAAAUCCAAACUGUACAACACAAGAAGUUCAUAUUUGUGAAGUGGUUUAGGUAAAGUAAGAAACCUAUAGAACUCAGAAGAUUUGAGAUGUGAGCACCCGAAAGGUUUUCAAAGGUGAAAUAUAAAUAUGAUCUAUACAUAUGACUUGAAAUCUAUAAGCCUCAGCCUGUAAUCUUCUUUCUAAGAUUUACAUUUAUCGAUUUAAAUAUGUAUAUUUGUGUUUAUCUUGAAAUAAAUUUAUAGAUUCAAACUCUAUAUUCUUACUUUGCUACUAUUUUAUCUUAUAGAUUCUAAUUUUGAAGUGUUUUAAAAUUGUAAAGCUAUUUUCAUGUUUUUUAUGUUCAAAUUUUUUAGAUCUGAAAAUUAUCCGAUACAUAGAUUUAUGAUGAAGUAUGCUUACAAGUGAAUGUUAGUAGACUUCAAAUAAAGUCUACUAAUAUAUGAUUUUAAAUUUCUUGGUCUUAUGUUUUCUUUAUAAUUUUAUCUUAUUCUGCAGGUAUUCUGUUCCAUAAUUUUUAAAUCCUUCUUCCAAAAAUAGAAGAUUUACAUCUAUAAAUUUCAAAUGUGUGUUUUUGUGUUUAUAUUAAAAUAUAUU
rnacentral:lncRNA from 1 species